rnacentral:sRNA from 1 species
AUAUCAAUGUUAAGUAUUUAUACCAUUUUCGAAGUUUUGACAGAAGUUAUAAAGAAUACAAGUAAUGGAAAAAUAAAUCUACAGAAAGCACAAACAAAAACAAACAGUAAUGGAGGAAAUCUUUAACCAAGAGCGGAAACAAGAAAAGAAACACCGAUUCCGAGAAGCUAAACUCGAAAAUUUCAGUGAUUUCCACAACUCGAAAAUACCAAGGAGCUGGAAUCUCAUCUUACUUGCCACGAGCAAACCUUAGCAGAGGUCCGUCCUCAAAACCUCUCGAGUAAGGCACAUUAACUUCUCUUCAAACUAACGCAAAACGUAAAGAUAAUAGAGAACUUAAACACAAAUCCGACGAAGUCCUCUUGACAAGAAGAUGGAGGGUUGUUCUCGUACUCGCUUGGCGGGAUGGGCAUUCUUAGUUGUUUAAAACU